rnacentral:lncRNA from 1 species
AAGAUGAUAAACAAUACUAGCAAUACUAGCAAAAACACGUAAAUAAUUAGGAGUGAAGCUUUGCUCCUUUUCCUAAGGCUCCUUUUUUUUCCUUUUCUUUUUAUUGAUUGAAAACAUGUGGCAAAAAUAAAUUGAAUGGCUAAGAUUAAAUUGAUUAAAAAAAAAACAAAAGAAAUAGCGUGUGGUCGUGUGUCUUCUUCUUCUUCUCCCUUUUCUUCCUCCUCCUCUUGUUUCAGAGAUACAACCAUUCACAUCCUCACCUAACCACCUCUUCCUCACGCCGCCGCCCGUCCCCGUCCGUCAUAACGGCGGCGUCCAUCCACUAUUAUUCUCCACACACCAACUCGCCGUCUUGCUAUCUCGCCAAGCCUCACCGUUCCGCCGCCGCAAUCUCUACAAACAUAGCAAUCUAAAUAACAUAACAUUUAAAUACAAGCGACGGCGAGAGGAACAUGGAGACAUUUAAAUUCAAGACUCUCAUUCAUCAUCGAUCUAUUCAUAAAAUAAAUUUUAGUAAUUAACACACCGUCACUGUGAGGAACGGUAGUGGCGGCGGUGGAGCGACGGCGAGAGGAACAUGGAGGAGAGAUGGCGAUGAGGUGAAGAUGAAAAGACUUUCUGUUUUAAUUUGUUUUUAAUUUUUAAAUAUGUAAGUAUAAUCUUUAAAUUCCAGCCGUCAGUGGAUGGACACCGCCGUUAUGACAUCCGGGGAGGGGCGGCGGCAUGAGGAAGAGGUGGUGAGGUGAGGAUGAGAUGAUGGUUGUAUCUCUGAAACAAGAUGAAGAAGAAGACACGCUAUUUCCCUUUAUGUUUUUUUUUUAUCAAAACAAUUACUUAAUUAUAAGUUUUAAUCUCAGCCAUUCAGUUUAUUUUUGCCACAUG